GAGAUCUUAAAGCAUGCCUCUAACCUUAUAUUCAACGUCCUCAGAAAUCCCACGAAGUUAGGAUUUUACCGAAAACUCCUGACGCGGAUCACGAAUCUAGCAUCUCACCUCGGAGAAAGGUAUGAGAUGACAACUCAUAAUCUUCCUUCUACACCAUCCAAAUUACUCACAUAAAAACGCAAACUGAAUAUCCAUUCAUAAAAGCCGCAAUGCAGCGGGGAUUCAAAGCCACAAGUGGCCAGUCCCAAAAUAUAAACAUGGCCAUACUUGGCCAGAAAAAAAAAUACUAAUCCAUAACAUAAAAAGGAAAUCUCUCAAGGGAGAUCGUAACCUUGAUCGUCAUCUGGAAACUAAACCUCCCCUU
rnacentral:lncRNA from 1 species